ensembl:lncRNA
UAUAGGUCUUUGUGUAUGAAAAUGUAAGCAGAAAAACACCCUGAAACUAUAUUAUUCUGUGUGGCUGGGAAGGUGAGUGUGAGAGUGUGACGGGUUAACUUAUACCCUAUUUCAUAGUGUAAGUUGUUGAGGUUUACGUAACACACUGAGAAAUGGAAACCCCCUUGAUAUUCCCGGAAAUCUUUCAUGCCAUAUAACAGGUUUGGAGCAUUUUGAGUCGUUGCUACAGUACAUGUUAGAGCGCAGCUGUGAGUUUCUCACAUUUUACCUUGUUUCCCAAGAAUGGUUUGCAACAGCUGGCUUACAUCAAGGGUCUACCAAGCAUUUUUUCAAGCACAUCUUUUCCCUUUUUGACAUAUCUCACAAAGCAGACAUACACCACUGUGUCAGUGCCUUAUCUAGCCAUGAACUUCCUGUCAUUAAGUAACUCAUCCUCAUGAAGAAAGACUAAAGCAUCUCAUUUAGAGAGAGUCUCAAUUAACUCCAUGCCAAAGGACGCUCAAUUUACGCUCAUAGCUUUCAAAAUGAACUGAGAUCCAAUGAUCUGCCUCAAGUAGAGCUUAAGAGCUCUUCUUUUGUUAUAGUUCAAUAUUAAAGAAAAGGGAUUUUUUAGUGUUUCGAGUCAAUGGAUCAACUUUUAUGCUUUACUUAUGGCCUUGGAUCAGAGCAGCAAUUAUUAUUGUGACAAAUUCGCUACCUUGCACAAGACAUUUUUGCCCCUUCGGGAGAUUCAAAGCAUCAGAUCAAAGACAAAGAACAUUAUAUUUUAAACUCAAGAAAGUCCAGCUGACCAUGUACAGCAGCAAUGUUCAAAUACACUAGGCAGGGGUUUAGCUUCUGUUUGACAUGAUAUUGGAAAUCUUUUUACACUAUACACUGACAAUUCAAUUAAUUGAGCUCUUGUGGUACAACCCCAUUAUAAUGUGGUCCCUUUGAGCAUUUUAUGCCUUGUAUGGAAUGUGUGUUUGUGUGUCUGUGUGCGAGUAUAGAUAACAGAUUAGGUCUCUUAGGUUUUCAAACUAGUUAAAAUCAAUAGUCUAUAUGGUUGUCUUUGUCUCGAGAUGACGCUUACAUUUUGUGAUUCACUGUGGCUUUUUUGCUUGAAGGAAUUGUUUUAACAUUUUAACGUGUCAAAAUCAACUCCCAUUAUGUUGGUUUGUGUUUUUUAUUUAUUUGUGUAGAAUCAUUUGAAAUACAAAAAAUGACAGAAAACAUGAUCACUGGUAGGAAGCAAGCAACAUAUGUGGAUUAUGACAUAUAAAGAGAUACAAAUAUAUUCUUUUGUUAUAUAUCUAAUAUUGUAUGUAACAAAUUCUUUAUAAAAUGUGAAUGUAAAACAUUUUAAGCAAAGUGUCUACUGUUAUAUCAUGCUGUGUGAUGUCGGUAAAGAUAUAAAUAUUCAGAAAUGUAUUAUUCCGUGUAACCGGAGGUGAUGUAGCCACAUGAAUGUAAACGGAGCAGCUCUGGCAUUUCUGAGUGAUGCUUACAGAAUAAUGUGUACAACUACAAAACUGUCAUUUUGAUUGUAAGUGACAAACAUAUAUGAAAAAGUUCAAAUAUGCACACUAUAACAAUAAAGUCCUUACAAUACAUAUUGGGAAA